rnacentral:rRNA from 1 species
UACGAAGGGUGCAAACGUUGCUCGGAAUCAUUGGGCGUAAAGCGCACGUAGGCGGCUUCAAAAGUCGGAUGUGAAAUCCCUCGGCUCAACCGAGGACGUGCAUCCGAAACUGUGAGGCUUGAGUACUGAAGAGGAUCGCGGAAUUCCCGGUGUAGAGGUAGAAAUUCGUAGAUAUCGGGAGGAACACCAGUGGCGAAGGCGGCGAUCUGGGCAGAUACUGACGCUGAGGUGCGAAAGCGUGGGGAGCGAACAGG